rnacentral:rRNA from 1 species
AUUGAACGCUGGCGGCAGGCCUAACACAUGCAAGUCGAGCGAGCGGCGGACGGGUGAGUAAUGUCUGGGAAACUGCCUGAUGGAGGGGGAUAACUACUGGAAACGGUAGUUAAUACCGCAUACCAUCAGAUGUGCCCAGAUGGGAUUAGCUAGUAGGUGGGGUAACGGCCCACCUAGGCGACGAUGCCUAGCUGAUCUGAGAGGAUGACCAGCCACACUAGAACUGAGGCACGGUCCAGAAUCCUACAGGAGGCAGCAGUGGGGAAUAUUGCACAAUGAGCGCAAGCCUGAUGCAGCCAUGCCGCGUGUGUGACGAAGGCCUUCAAAUUGUAAAGCACUUUCAGCCGAGAGGCGUUACCCACAGAAGAAGCACCGGCUAACUCCAUGCCAGCAGCCGCGGUAAUUC